rnacentral:rRNA from 1 species
UGGGGAAUUUUGGACAAUGGGCGAAAGCCUGAUCCAGCAAUGCCGCGUGUGUGAAGAAGGCCUUCGGGUUGUAAAGCACUUUUGUCCGGAAAGAAAUCCUUGGCUCUAAUACAGUCGGGGGAUGACGGUACCGGAAGAAUAAGCACCGGCUAACUACGUGCCAGCAGCCGCGGUAAUACGUAGGGUGCAAGCGUUAAUCGGAAUUACUGGGCGUAAAGCGUGCGCAGGCGGUUUGCUAAGACCGAUGUGAAAUCCCCGGGCUCAACCUGGGAACUGCAUUGGUGACUGGCAGGCUAGAGUAUGGCAGAGGGGGGUUAGAAUUCCACGUGUAGCAGUGAAAGUGCGUAGAGAUGUGGAGGAAUACCGAUGGCGAAGGCAGUCCCCUGGGCCAAUACUGACGCUCAGUGCACGAAAGCGUGGGGAGCAAACAGGAUUCAGAUACCCUGGUAGUCCACGCCCUAAACGAUGUCAACUAGUUGUUGGGGAUUCAUUUCCUUAGUAACGUAGCUAACGCGUGAAGUUGACCGCCUGGGGAGUACGGUCGCAAGAUUAAAACUU